rnacentral:rRNA from 1 species
AGUGAACGCUGGCGGUAGGCCUAACACAUGCAAGUCGAACGGCAGCACAGAGGAGCUUGCUCCUUGGGUGGCGAGUGGCGGACGGGUGAGGAAUACAUCGGAAUCUACUCUGUCGUGGGGGAUAACGUAGGGAAACUUACGCUAAUACCGCAUACGACCUACGGGUGAAAGCAGGGGACCUUCGGGCCUUGCGCGAUUGAAUGAGCCGAUGUCGGAUUAGCUAGUUGGCGGGGUAAAGGCCCACCAAGGCGACGAUCCGUAGCUGGUCUGAGGGGAGGAUCAGCCACACUGGAACUGAGACACGGUCCAGACUCCUACGGGAGGCAGCAGUGGGGAAUAUUGGACAAUGGGCGCAAGCCUGAUCCAGCCAUACCGCGUGGGUGAAGAAGGCCUUCGGGUUGUAAAGCCCUUUUGUUGGGAAAGAAAUCCAGCUGGCUAAUACCCGGUUGGGAUGACGGUACCCAAAGAAUAAGCACCGGCUAACUUCGUGCCAGCAGCCGCCGUAA